AGAUCAAGUGAGAGAGAAAGGAGAAGAGCUUUGCUUGGUUUGGUGCUUGCUUUGGUGUGUGAAGCAUAAGAGAAGCAGAUCAUAGCGUUGUUGUUGCUGUGUUGGGUUGUCUUUGUCCAGAUUUCCUUCUUGUUUUGAGGUGAGUAUAUGAUCAUAGUUUAUCUAAGCGUUAAGAUUGCUUAUUUGUUAUUUCUAUGAUAGAUGAGGAUUGAUUCCUUUGUUUAUGUGUUUUUGUUGGUUGGUCUUGUAUGGUUGCUUGUGGUUGUUUGUUCGUUGGGAGAAAAAGUGGUGAAGGAUCCGUCGUCGAGGAUCACUCGUAUUGCGUUAAAGGAUUCGAUGUCGACUGACAUCAAGGAUAGGUUUCAAUCAACACCAGCCCGUGUUCGUGGUGGAGUUUGUGUUAGUGUCGUUCGACAUCAUGGGAGGAUGUUGGUCACCAUCACGAUACCGAGGAAGUUUGGGAGGUGGGAUCGAACAACAGAAAGGAUGGGUGUCAAUCAACACCAACGACCAGUAGACGUGCUAUGUGUUCUAAUUGCUCUGGUUUGAUUGAUUGUUUUGAUUUAUUGAUGGUAAAGAAACGAUGUGACUGUGAUUAUGGGAAAUCAACUGGUCGAAGUUCAUGUGAGAAGUAGUAAGGAAAAGAAUAAGAGUCAACACAGUAAAAAAUAUAUAUAUAUAUUCGACUUUACGAAGCCAUUUGGCCACAAAGAGAAAAGUGGAUAAAUACUGAAAGAUGUGAGCUUUUUAAGAUAUGGAAGCAAGCGUUUCGGACCUUUCGGUCAUGUUUCUUGGCUUGGGUAUGUGGUAUCAUUGACAAGGUUAGUAAUAGUAAAGUCAUUGUCUUUUGAUUGGUAAAGAGUAAAGAGCAGCAGUAGUUUGUGUAGGUAACUAAAACUCAAAACUUAUUUCUUCUUUUUCUUUUUAUAUAUAC